rnacentral:lncRNA from 1 species
GCGUGAAAGCAGUUUGGUUAUCUCUUAGAGACAAGUUCUGCAUGUACUUAGAAACCUAAGCUGUUCCAGCCUUUCCACAGCUUUACUUCCCUAUGUGAAAAGCCUGUAAAUUCUUAAGUUCUCAGUUCUUUAAUGCUGUCUCUUUUGGCACUGGUAGUGGAGAUGCUGGUUUUAUUAUUUGAGUUGUUUGAAAGGUCUUUCUUGUACCUUGGUUACUAGGUUACUACAUAUCUUUAUUAUUAGGCCUCUGUCUCGAGAGACUCAGCUGAGGAGGAAAAACAGAUGAAGAAAAAUAUGUAAUAAGCAUUGUAGUAAAAAAAGUUUCUUAGAGGAACUGACAUUUGACUUUAUUAAUUCUUUCAGCAAAUUUAACUAGGUACCUGCUAUGUGCCAAGUACAGCCUAGGCACUGGGGAUACAGUGAUUGAUAAUACAGGUGUGGUCCCUCCCUCCACGGAGCUUACUGUCUAGUGGUUCCAGACAGUGGAUUGCAGACAACAUGACCUCAGGGAAAUGGUCAUUACAUAGAGGUCAGGCAAAAUGCAGAGACUUCCCUUCAUACUCCAUGGUGGUAAAGUGGUAUUCCAUACUAUGAGAUUGAAAAAUAGCUAAUGAAGUUAUCUUGUAGGUUAUGUGGGACUGUGUACUCACUGAGAAGAAAGCUCUGGUGAAUCAGAUAGCUGCUGCCAUAGACUAAUUAAAAAGGGGUACAGGAGUGAUUGAGCCAUGAUAGAUGCCUUUAAUGGCAUGGGAUAAUUUAAAGCAAGCGGGUGACAUACUCACAUUGCAAAAGCGUUGCCUUAAUGGAAUGAAACUUAAAGCCUUUAUGGGAUAAUGUUGUAAAAAAUCUCUUGCAGCUUGUAGUCAUAUGGCUGAGGUAACUACCAUAUUCAGAGAUUGAUUCCAUGAUUUGGCAAAUUAUAUUAGUACAUGAGUUCACAUACUUUGCUAGACAUUUUGUGAAUGUCAGGUUAAAUUAGAUUAGGGAAGAGUGGGGUCUUGACAACUGGAAUAGCAGUAUGUGAGAGACAACAAGGCUUAGAGAACCCCAGACUCCUGGACGUACGUAAAACAGAGUUCACAACUGUGGCACUAUUAACAUUUUGGAAUGGAUUUUUUGUUGUUGUGGGGGGCUGCCCUGUGCAUUGUGAGAUGUUUAGCAGCAUUCUUGGCCUCUACCUACCAGACACCAGUAGCAGCCCAUCCUUGAAUCAUGGCAAUCAAAAACGUCUCCAGGUAUUGCCAAAUGCCUGUCCCCAAGGUGAGGCAGGGAAGGAAAUUGCCUCGGGUUUGAGAAACAUUGGAUAAGUGUUACCUGUUGUGCAAACCUUGCUUGAGGAAACUGUAACUUAUCGAGAGAGAGAACUGAGAAGUCAUCUCAUGCUUUCUCUCGUUGCUUGUCUGGUAAUUCAAAUUUAACAUUUUAUUUAAAUCGUUAAAAAUUUUGUAAAAGUAAAACAAAUAGCAAUCCUAGAAUCACUAUCCAUCAUUCACUGUGAAAUAUACAGUUCACUUCACACUUUCUACAUCUAGAUAUAUGUACACACAGACUUAAGUAAUAUGGGAUUGUAAAUCAACUAUAAUAAAAAAUUAAAAAAAUAAAACAACAUCAAGAGAGUAAUAUGGGAGUUCUCGCUGUGGUGCAUAUGUUAAUUAGCGAAUGUCACUGGAUCCUCCAACUGGAAUUCAAAAUGAAAUAAAAAAAAUGGACAUCCGAUGCUCUGAGAAUUUAAUACAUAAGUAUCUAUUUCACACAGGCUCUCAGAACGAUUUGUCAAACUAAUUAAUUUGUAUUUUCUCUUAGCGAAGUGCUUCUGCUGUUCACAUUCUUUCCAUAGCAAAGUCUGUCUGACAUAAGAGCACAACCCACACACCUACACAGCAUUCAGGGACAGUCACCUUUUAUUUAGAGGAGAAAGGAGGACAAGAGCAAGAGAUGUAGAGAAGCAUCUCCCUGGGGCUCAAAUGAAGUUAGAGGCACAAAAGGGACAUAUUUAAAGUUACAGAUGGUACUAUGCCAGUGCUGAGUGCGGCGACUUGAUAAGGAUACCCAUAUGGUCUUUCAUGAACUUAUUUUCUCUAUCUCUCUGAUAGGUGGGGCUCUCUUAACUAGUGGGGCCCAUGCGCCCAGUUCUAAGGCUGGUACUGGCUUUUAUCAUUCAGUGUCCACAUGCUUAGAUGGUCCUCCUGUUUCCCAGUUGGGUACCUGUUCCCACAGCUGUUCCAUCAUUCUGCCACCAGUUCCAGUUUUCUGUAGGAGUUAAUACCAUGAGGGAGGGGAGCUAGCACUCUAGCUCCUUUUCUUUUUUUUUUAAUAUUUAAAAUUUUUUUAUUUUGAAAUAAUUUUGAUUUACAAAAAUUUGCAAAGAUGGUACAGGCUUGGGUAUACUCUUCCCCAAGCUUCCCUGAAUGGUAAUAUCUUCCAUAAUCCAGCGGCAUUUACCAAAACCAAGAAAUUGCCGUGAGUGCAACACUGUGAAAACAUCACCGCAGACUUUAUUUGGAUUUCAACAGUUUUUUCGCCAGUUCCCUUUCUCUGUUUCAGGAUAUUACACUGCAUUCAGUAAUCAUGCUCCCUUGGUCUCCAAGCUGUGACAGUUUUUUCUUUGUCUUCCAUGGUCUUGGCGGUUUUGAAGAGUCCUGGUCAGGUAGUUUAUAGGCUGUCCUUCAAUUUGAGUUUGCCUAAUGUUUGGGUUUGCCAUGAUUACAUCAGGAAUAUGGAGGAAGAAAGUCACAGGGAUGAACUGCCUUUUUCAUUGUAUCCUAUCAGGAGUCCAUGACAGCAACACGACUUAUGACUGGUGACCUUAACCCUGAGUGCUCACUUGGCUAAAGUGGUGUCUCUGGUUUCUCUAGUUACUUGUAUCUUUCUUUCCAUACCCUGUUUUUUGGAAGAAAGUCACCAAGCCCAGCCAGCACUCCUCUAGGGGUGGGGAAUGUAUUUUAAAACUGCAUUCAUGGAGUUCCCAUUGUGGCUCAGAGGUAACAAACCUGAUUAAUAUCCAUGACGACGCAGGUUGGAUCCCUGGCCCUGCUCAGUGGGUUAAGGAUCCACUGUGAGCUGUGAGCUGUGGUGUUGGUGGCAGAUGCAGCUCGGAUCCACAUUAUUGUGGCUGUGGGUGUGGUGCAGGCCAGCAGCUACAGCUCUGAUUCAACCCCUAGCCUGGGAACUUCCAUAUUCUGGGGGUAGGCCCUUAAAAAGACCAAAAGAACCCCCAAAACAUAUCUGUAUUCUAUCAUUGCUUAUUUAAUAUCCCUUCUUACUACUCCCCACCUCCCACUUCUGGAAGUCCACUUAGCUCCUGCGCCUUUGUAAGAGUCUGUGAUACACAUCAACUUAGUUCUUGGCUUUUCCCACGAUAUUCGAAGUCGCUUUUCCUGCAUUCCAGUGUCCACAGUUUUAUUGCUGUUGUCUCCUUUUCUCUUUUUUCUGGAUUUAUGAGUUUAUGGGUUUUAAAAAUAUACCUUUACUGUGGUUUUAGUGGAAUUUCAGAGGAAGUGAAAUUGAAUUAUUAUGUUGAACUUGCCAUCUUUAUCUGGAAGCCUUGGGGAAAACAUUUCUUAAUUAUUAAAACUGACAUUUAAUCUGCAUUAUUUGCCAUUUCUUUUUUUGUCAUAAUUCUACCAUUGAUAUAAUCUGUGGAAUCAUUGAAUGCCUUUGUUUUUGGUACUAUUGCUAUGUUUCAUAAAACAUUGUGAUCAGUCAAAAAACGCAAUUCACAGCUAGAGAAAUUAGGCUUCUAGUAUUGGUUGAUGUUAUUGGCAGUGGUUAUCAAAGGUAAAUUAGAGUUAACUGCUGUAAGUGAGGUUUACACAGAGUCUAGAAUCUUCCUUUUACAUGCCCAGUUAUUAAGUUUCAAAAAAUAAAGCAGGCUAGGAUACCUCAGGAAUCAAAAUUUGAGUCACUUGUCCAGGAAAAGAACUUUAACUGACUUACACUGGGCAAAGGCAACCAUAGCUUAAAUGAGUAGAGGAGGGGAGUUAAAAUGUCCGCUGUGGGGGUAGUUCCCUUCGUGGCACAGUGGAAACGAAUCUGACUAGGGUCCAUAAGGAUGUGGGUUCAAUCCCUGGCCUCACUUAGUGCGUCGGGGAUCCAGCAUUGCUAUGAGCUGUGGUGUAGGUUGCAGACGCUGCUCUGAUCCCACGAUUGUUGUGGUUGUGGUGUAGGCCGGCAGCUGCAGCUCCUAUUCGACCCCUAGCCUGGAAACUUCCAUAUGCCAUGGGUGUGGCCCUAAAAAGGAAGAAAAAAAAAUUCCACUAUGGCUUCUUGGCCAUUUGUGUAAAUGAGGGCUGUAGCCUUCUGUAUAUGUGCUCUCUUUCUCUUUCCUUUCCUUAUCUCUCAUCGUUCUUCUUCUUUUUAAAAAGGCAUUUAAAGAGCAGCUUUAGGUGUAAUGAAAUAGGAAAGUACAGAGAUUUCCCACAUACAGGCAUAUCUUGUUUUAUUGUGCUUUGUCAAUACUGUUUUUUACACAUUGAAGGUCUGUGGCAACCCUUCAUUGAGCAAGUUGAUUGGUGUCAUAUUUUUUCCAACAGCAUUUGCUCAUCUCUUGUCUCUGUGUCAAUUUUUGUAAUGACUGCAGUAUUUCAAACUUUUUUUAUUAUCAUUACAUUUGUUAUGGUGAUUUAUGAUCAGUGAUCCUUGAUGUUAGUAUUGCAGUUAUUUUGGGGAGUCACGAGCCAUGCUCAUAUAAGAUGGUAGGCUUAACCGAUAAAUGUUCCCUGUAUCUCUCUCUCUCCUUGGGCCUUCCUGUUCCCUAAGACACAACAAUAUUGAAAUUAGGCCAGUUAAUAACCUCAGAAUAGUCUCUAAGUAUACAAGUGAAAGGAAGAGUCACAUAUUUCUCACUUUAAAUUAAAAGCUAGAAAUGAUUAAGCUUAGUGAGAAAGGCACAGGGAAAGCUAAGAUAGGCCAAAAGCUAGGCCUCUUUCACCAGUUAACCAAGUUGUGAAUACAAAGGAAAUGUUCUGGAAAGAAAUUAAAAGUGCUACUCCAGGAGUUCCCUGGUGGCUUAGCAUAUGAAGGAUCUAGUGUUGUCACUGCUGUGGCUCUGGUUACUGCCAUAGAGCAGGUUCGAUCCCUGGUCUGGAAACUUCUGCAUGCCUCAAGUGCAGCCCCCCACCCCCAAAAAAAAUGCUACUCCAGUGAACACACAAAUGACAAGAAAGUGAAACAGCUUUAUUGUUGAUGUGGAGAAAGUUUUAGUGGUCCAGAUAGAGGAUCAAACCAGCCAUAACAUGCCCUCCAGUCAGAGUCUAACUCAGAGCAAGGCUUUAACCAUCUUCAAUUCCAUGAAAGCUGAGAGAGGUGUGGAAGCUGCAGAAGAAAAGCUUAAAGCCAGCAGAGGCUGGUAUGAAAUUUAACAUAAAAUUUAAAAUGUCUCCAUAACAUAAAAGUACAAGGUAAAGCAGCAAGAGUUGAUAAUAGAAGCUGCGGCAAAAUUUCCAGAAAAUCUAGCUAAGAUAAUUAAUGAAGGUGGCUACAAGAAAUUUUCACUGUAAACAAAACAGGCUUAUAUUGGAGUAAGAUACCAUCUGGGACUUUCAUAACUAGAGAGGAGAAGUCAUGCCUGGCUUCAAAGGACAGACAGACUCUUGUUAGAGGCUAAUGUAGGUGGUGACUUGAAGUUGAAGCUGGUGCUCAUUUACCAUUUUGAAAAUCCAGUGACCCCCUAAUUCUACUCUGUCUAUGCUCUGGAAAUGAAACAAUAAAGCCCAAAUUCCAGCACAUAUAUUUAUAACAUGAUUUACUAUUUUAAGCCCAUGACUGAGACCUACUGCUCAAAAAAAAUAUUCUUUUAGAAAUAUUACUGCUCAUUGACAAUGCAUCUAGUCACCCAUGAGCUCUGAAGGAGAUGUAUAAUGAGAUUAAUGUUGUUUUCAUGCCUGCUAACUGUCCAUUUUUGUAGCCCAUGGAUCAAGGAGUAAUUUCAACUAUCAAGUCUUAUUAUUUAAGAAAUAUAAUUUCAUAAGGCUAUAGCUGCUGUACAUAGUGAUUCCUCUGAUGGAUCUGGAAAAGUAAAUUGCAAAACUUCUUGAAAGAAUUCACCAUUUAAGAUGCCAUUAAGAACAAUCAUGGAGUUCCCUUGUGGUGCAGUGAGUUAAGGAUCUGGUGUCACUGUAGUGGCUCAGGUUUGAUCCCUGGCUUGGGAACUUCUACAUACUGUAGGCACAGACAAAAAAAAAAAAAAAAAAAAAAAAAA